rnacentral:rRNA from 1 species
CGGCGAACGGGUGCGUAACACGUGGGCAACCUGCCCCUCACUCUGGGAUAACCCCGGGAAACCGGAGCUAAUACCGGAUACUCUCGCGGAGCCUCAUGGUUCUGUGAGGAAAGGUCCGCCGGUGAGGGAUGGGCCCGCGGCCUAUCAGCUUGUUGGUGAGGUAACGGCUCACCAAGGCGACGACGGGUAGCUGGUCUGAGAGGACGACCAGCCACACUGGAACUGAGAUACGGUCCAG